GAUGAACGCUGGCGGCGUGCUUAACACAUGCAAGUCGAACGGUGAACGAGGGAGCUUGCUCCCUCCGGAUCAGUGGCGAACGGGUGAGUAACACGUGAGCAAUCUGCCCUGGACUCUGGGAUAAGCGUUGGAAACGACGUCUAAUACCGGAUACGAGGCGUGGGGGCAUCCCCAACGCCUGGAAAGAACUUCGGUCCAGGAUGAGCUCGCGGCCUAUCAGGUAGUUGGUGAGGUAACGGCUCACCAAGCCUACGACGGGUAGCCGGCCUGAGAGGGUGACCGGCCACACUGGGACUGAGACACGGCCCAGACUCCUACGGGAGGCAGCAGUGGGGAAUAUUGCACAAUGGGCGAAAGCCUGAUGCAGCAACGCCGCGUGAGGGAUGACGGCCUUCGGGUUGUAAACCUCUUUUAGCAGGGAAGAAGCGAAAGUGACGGUACCUGCAGAAAAAGCACCGGCUAACUACGUGCCAGCAGCCGCUGUAACAC
rnacentral:rRNA from 1 species